UUUUAGUCUUAAUGAUAAUAAUUUUAGUGAUCGUAAUUUAAAGAAUCAUAGAUUUAAACUACUUCUAAUCCUGAUAUUGACAUCCCUCUUGUCCUCACGACAAUUCAACAACCUUCCACGACUGUUAAUCCCCCCUCCUCCUUGCUACAUAAUUUGUGACUGUAAGUUUAUUCAAUUGCAUGAUUUUUUCUAUUCCAUUUACCCUGUUUUUUU
rnacentral:lncRNA from 1 species